rnacentral:rRNA from 1 species
UACGGAGGGUGCAAGCGUUGUCCGGAAUCACUGGGCGUAAAGGGCGCGUAGGCGGCUCGGUAAGUAGGGGGUGAAGUCCUGCGGCUUAACCGCAGGGCUGCCUUCUAAACUGUCGAGCUUGAGCACGGUAGAGGCAGAUGGAAUUCCCGGUGUAGCGGUGGAAUGCGUAGAGAUCGGGAAGAACAUCAGUGGCGAAGGCGGUCUGCUGGGCCGUUGCUGACGCUGAGGCGCGACAGCGUGGGGAGCAAACAGG